GAUGAACGCUGGCGGCGUGCCUAAUACAUGCAAGUCGAGCGAACAGAUGAGGAGCUUGCUCCUCUGACGUUAGCGGCGGACGGGUGAGUAGCACGUGGAUAACCUACCUAUAAGACUGGGAUAACUUCGGGAAACCGGAGCUAAUACCGGAUAAUAUAUUGAACCGCAUGGUUCAAUAGUGAGAGACGGUUUUGCUGUCACUUAUAGAUGGAUCCGCGCCGCAUUAGCUAGUUGGUAAGGUAACGGCUUACCAAGGCAACGAUGCGUAGCCGACCUGAGAGGGUGAUCGGCCACACUGGAACUGAGACACGGUCCAGACUCCUACGGGAGGCAGCAGUAGGGAAUCUUCCGCAAUGGGCGAAAGCCUGACGGAGCAACGCCGCGUGAGUGAUGAAGGUCUUCGGAUCGUAAAACUCUGUUAUUAGGGAAGAACAAAUGUGUAAGUAACUAUGCACGUCUUGACGGUACCUAAUCAGAAAGCCACGGCUAACUACGUG
rnacentral:rRNA from 1 species